CUCGCGCAGCCCUCAUUCACACAGACACCCACUUCCCAACCCAUCUUCUAUUCUUCCUCCUCCAUGCGGCCAUGAUUGAGAGAAUGAGAGGUUGAGAGAGUCAGAGAUCCAGAGAGCGUCAUCCACCAUCAAGGAAGCCCUCCACCGUCGCAAGUCAUCAAUUCAUCUCCGACGCAGACUCGCAUGCAUAGCAAAGAGCAGCGCCAUCAUGUAGCCAGAAGCCCAGAAGCAUCAUCCAGUUCGCGCCCUCCACCGUCGCUCGAAGCCGCCGUCCAGUCAUAAGUCGUGGCAACAAACCCUAAGCGGAGCAGCACUCUGGUCGCCGAGCAGCAGUCCAUUCGCCGAGCCCUCUCCUGCAAAAAGCAACUGAACAAUAUCUUCUUCGGAGAAAUUGCACCAACCGAAAAAGAUGAUGACGAGUCUGGUGUGGAUUUAGAUUGGUUUUUAUUUGUUUUAAAGUGAUUAUUUCGGUUUAAAGUAUGUUUAUUUAUGUUGUUUUGCUAGAUAUUUUUAGUUGUCUUUAUUUUAUGUUUAAUUAGGUUGAAUUUGUAUUGAAUUUGGAUGUAAUAUACUCUUGGUUAUUCUAGUUUAUUAACGAUUUUAAACUU